GCGGGGGUGGGAGAGCGGUCAAAUCCGCCACCUUGAGGGGGUGGUCCCUUAGUGGGUACGCGUGUUCAAAUCACGUCCCUCGCA
rnacentral:tRNA from 1 species